rnacentral:misc_RNA from 1 species
GGAGUCUUGGAGCUGCUAUCAUCUACAACGACGAGCAUGCAUGGAAUGACCACUGGAUCUUCUGGGUUGGACCAAUGAUUGGAGCUGCUCUUGCUGCUAUUUACCACCAAAUAAUUAUCAGAGCUAUGCCAUUCCACAGGUCUUAAGUUAUCUGUCUUUAAACAAUGGGAUUCUCAAAGACUCAACAGUGUACUUUUGUCUUCUUUUUUUGGGGGGUUGAAUGUUCAAGUUUCUCCUUCAAUGUAUUUGUAAUGUGGAUCUGUUCCUUCUGUUAAGAUGUUCUAUUAUGUGUGUAAAUUAUCAGGUUAUGAUAAUGUAAUGUACCUUAUCAAUGAAGGUUCUUUAUUUUUAUCUUUGA